UAUCUUUUUUUAGGGUAAUAUUUACUACCUUCAGAUGGGUAAUUCACUAAAGGGUAAUAUUUACUCUAAAAUCUUGGGUAGUUUGCUAUCCGUGGUUUAAAUUUUACCCUCAACAUAAUGGUAAUGUUUACAAUGACCCUCUUUGGGUGUAAAUGCAACAUGUGGGUGUAAAAAUUACCCCAUGCGUUUGGUGUAAUGCCAAGUGCAACGCAUGUUUUAAAAUCAACAUGGCGGAAUUAAGCAAGAGUGGAAGAAACAUGCUUCUUCGUCAACAGAGUCCAAACCACUUUGUCGGAAUAUUAGCAUUUAUGGUCUAUUUCUCCAAGAUUUCUUGAAGAAACUCCUUUAAAUUAUUUGCUGUACCUGGUCCAACUUCAAUGCCUUUUUCAAGAAAUCUUGAUUCAUGAUUGCCAGACUGCAACUUAUAGCAAACCCAUUGUUGGUGUCGCAUGGCCAAAGUAAAUGCACUAGGAAUGUGGACCAUAAAAUGCAUUUUUGGAAUUAUGCUGCAGUGGGGAUAAAGCUCCUUGAACUUAUUGUGGUGGUCAUUGAUUAGGACUUGAAGAUAUGCCACUUCAUCUUUUGAUAUUACAGGUGAAAAGCAAAGAGAUGUGAUUUGUAGCAAACUAAGAAAAAGUUUCUAUCGGUCAUUUUCUGGAGGAACAAUAUUUCCAAUUAUGAGUGCACUUGCAAGACAAUAUCGACAUGGCUUGUUUGCACUGCAACUCUCUUUAAAUCCUCCUAACAACUGUGCCCCAAGAUUGUCAGCA